rnacentral:rRNA from 1 species
GAUGAACGCUGGCGGCGUGCCUAAUACAUGCAAGUCGAGCGAACAGACGAGGAGCUUGCUCCUCUGACGUUAGCGGCGGACGGGUGAGUAACACGUGGAUAACCUACCUAUAAGACUGGGAUAACUUCGGGAAACCGGAGCUAAUACCGGAUAAUAUAUUGAACCGCAUGGUUCAAUAGUGAAAGACGGUUUUGCUGUCACUUAUAGAUGGAUCCGCGCCGCAUUAGCUAGUUGGUAAGGUAACGGCUUACCAAGGCAACGAUGCGUAGCCGACGUGAGAGGGUGAUCGGCCACACUGGAACUGAGACACGGUCCAGACUCCUACGGGAGGCAGCAGUAGGGAAUCUUACGCAAUGGGCGAAAGCCUGACGGAGCAACGCCGCGUGAGUGAUGAAGGUCUUCGGAUCGUAAAACUCUGUUAUUAGGGAAGAACAAAUGUGUAAGUAACUAUGCACGUCUUGACGGUACCUAAUCAGAAAGCCACGGCUAACUACGUG